UUAUUUCAUUUUUAUUGGGAUUGAGAGUGGACCAGGCGUAUUCGCAGUCUCACUUUUUGAUAAAUCCGCUCCAUUUCUGUCUGUUUCCUCUUUUUCGUUUAUUUUUUUUGGGUUUUUUGCAUUAUGGUAAUUAAUCUAUUAUUUAAUUUGAUUUAAUUUCUUGAAUACAAAUAAAAUUUUACUUUUACCAAAUCGACAGUAAUACUAUACUUUCCAAAAAAUUUCACACCAUCUAACAUUUACCACUUAAUUAAUACUGUCAAGAAAACAUAUUAUUUUUUGUUAUUGCAAUUUGAUGGGCAUCAAAAUUUUAUUUUUCUUGAGAAAAUAAUCACGAAUAACUUACCUCCUUAGGAAUACAAACUCGGCUAGUUAAUUAUAAAAAAGUUGUUGAAAACAAUAACCGUGAAUGUUCAGCAAUAAUAAUAGAAUUAUAAACAAUUGUACAUGUAAUUUGAAUUAGCAACUUACGUGGCACGAAAAGAUUGAUUAAUUAAAAAGUAAAAAGUUACUAAUUAAAAUAUAAUGUGAGUCUCACGAUAACUUCAUUUAAUUAAUUGAUUUCAAUUUAGAGUAGAUUAAAAGUUAGAAUUUUAUUCAAUUUGUAUCUUAAAAGUUACAGUAUCUCAAUUCCCAAACGCAUCCGUAAUUAUAAUAUUUUUGAAAGAGUAUACAGAUUUAAAAAUUUAAGUAUUUCGAUUGAACGCUUCAGUAGUGGAGAAGAAAAUUAUGAUGAGAAAUGUGUCAAUAAUUGCGGAGCACGUGUGGAACCCAGGAGUGUGUACGUGUGUGCCAAAAUUAAAAAAGAAAAUUAAAAUAAAUGAUGAUUGAAGUUGAAGAUGCACGAUAACGGACCUAGAGGGAAGCAAGCAAGCGUGCGUGCGAGCGUGGGGCUUUUGCUUCCUGAAUCAGAAGCAAGGAUGAUUAUGUGAGAAUAAAGAGACAUCAUUGCAAUUAGCGCACCGAAAGCAUCUCCUAGAUUCAAGGUUCAUUUUACAUUUCUUUUGCCUACUUUUGCUAUUCUUCUACUAAGGCUGUUAGUUACUACUUUACUUAUUCUCAUCAUCUUGCACUUAAUUUCAUCAAUAAUACCCAUCUACAUUUCCUUUUUCUUUACGCCAAAUUGAUUUGCUUAAUGAGCUUAAUUUACUAUUGAAACAUAAAAAGGGUAAGAAAGAAAGAAAGUGGUUUAUUACACGAGCGUAUUCGAAUAAUAAACAAGGGUAAGUGGUAAUGGUGAGGGAGUGUGUUUGAAUCUAUUAAGUAACAAUAAAAAUUCUUACUCGAUUAUUUCCUUCUCAUAAUUAGGUAGAAGUUGAUAAUCUUUCUACAAAUGUAAGUGAGAUAUGUAGAUAUACAUGUCCUUUUGAAUAUUAGUGAGGGUUGAUAUAUUUCUAAUAUAACAAAUAGAAAUAUGGAUUGUGUUACUAUAUAAAUGACCUUGGCUCUAUUUAAUUGAAUCCUUAUUUUAUAUAUACCAACAAUCUUCUGAUUGUAAGCAUAUCAAUAAUAUUAAAAAAAAUUCUAUAACUAAUAAAUAAUAUUAAGUAAUUAAGACAAAAAAUUCAUAAAAAUAUUUUCUUUUUAUGACUUUUCGAUAUCAUUUUCAAUCAAAUCUAACAUAUAGAAAAUAGAAAAACAAAAACAUGUUAUUAUUAUUUAAAAAAAAAAGAAUUUACUUAUAAACUUUCAAAAGUGUAUAACGCAUUAAUCCAAUUAUACGACUUAGCUUAAACUUAGGUUUCACUCUUAAUACAUACAUGUUGCUUCCUAUUAAUGAAAAUGAUGGCAUCAAUUCAAAAGCCCAUAUCUAUUUGCAAUCAUUUUUUUUUCACAUUAUUAUCUUCUAUUUAUUCUUUCAAUUUUUGAUUUUUCACAAAUUGUCAUAUCAUGUCAAAAGAGACAGAAAAAAAAAAAAAGAAGAAGGAAUGAAAUAGCUAAAAAGAGUCAAAGAAUAUCUAACCAUCAAAUUGAGUACGUAGAUUUGGCAUGAUAAAGACACGAGUGUAUUUUAAGUUUACGGCGUACGUGCGUGUGUGCUUUGAUUGUGUAAUUGUUUAUUUACAAUCAUUUGUAAGUCAAUUUCCAUACCUAACACUAAAGUCCAAUUUGGUGGUUGUGUUCUAUACGGCUGUUUAAUUACUAUUUUCAAAGUCAAAUUUGGAAAUUUUUUCUAACUUCACAACUAAGUUUCCUUAGAAUUAGAAGACUCGGAAAUACGCAUAUAAGAUUUAUUUCAAUUUAGUGGGUUUCAAGGUUAACGAUUCGGCUUUCAAGAUUAACACAAAAUAGCACUCACCAAGAUUGAUGUGUAAUGCUUCAAAUCUGUUAUAAAUGAAUAUAUAUAUAUAUAUAUACAUAUAUAUAUAUUUAAUGGUUCAAGAGAUCAUCAUAAAAGAAAAUCUUUCACGUUAGUUGGGAAGUCACUGUUGCUCUCUCCUUAUAAAUAUUAAAAAAAUAAAACAAAAAUGGAAAUACAAUAUUAAUGCAACUUGAUGUUCAAUGAACUUUUUGCAGUCAGUCAACAAAUUUGAAAAUGAAUUAAGCUUAGAUGCGGAGUAGUUCUCAAAAUCAAAUUGAAUAGUAUUACCAUAGCAUAGAAGGAUCAAAUUGUUGACUUCUCUUCCUUAUCAUCUUGCCCAACAUGACCAAAACAUUUUAAAAUGACCGAGAAAAUUAGGGUUGCAAAUCUAGUAAGUUUGACUAUAUAAGAUUAUAUUGAAUGUGUUUAUCAUGAAAUGCAUUAUCACAUCUCUUUGAUAUUAUAUUAUCAUACAAUUUAUACCGCCAUACCAAUAAUCUGAUAUGUUUAAUUCGAUGAACACGUGAAAGUUUGAAAGCCAUAUAUCAUUUUAAUACUAUAUAAAUUAAACCGCCAUUGGACACCAGAUACAAUAUAGUAUUAAAGAUAAGUCAUAAAAUUUAGGUAAUGGAAAGUUGGUAUUCUAAAAAAGUAUAACUUUUAGGACAUCUUUGCUUCCACGGCCACUUGUUUGAAAGCAUUAAUUGUGAACAUGAUGAAAAUGUAGCUUACAAGACACUAGCUAAAAUUAAAGGGAAAAAAAAAACGUGAGAUGAUUAACUACAAGCAUUAUACCACCCACAUGGUAGAUGCUUUUCAAAUGAAUGUUGUUCAAUCAACCAUCGAUUGCUUGUAUUAAAUGGAGAUGGUUGUAGAAAACAGAAAUGAAAAUUGGACAAUCAAGCACUAUAUUUUGUACGUAUUUUGGUAUAUGGGAGAGACUAUUAUUACAUGACUAAAGUUCGUAAUCAAUUUUUUUUUAAAGAUAAAAUUAAUCAUGUAUUGGGUAAUUAGUUUGAAAGAGAUCAAAUAUAUGUGUUUUGAAGUUUUUUUAAAAUUCUAUUAUUAAGAUUUCAGCUCAAGUAGAUAGUAAAAUAAAAUUACUUAAAAACCACUGAUAGAAUCUUCGGUCCACUUUAAUGUUGAUUUGAUAAUAAAUAUUUUUCCUAAGCUCAAAUUUAUUAGAACAUAACGUAUAUAUAUGUUUUUAAUACACAAGAUAUAUAGAUGUAAAAUAUAAAAAUUCAUUUAAUAUGCAUUAUUAGCCAAAAAAAAUUGGGUGGUGUCAAAGCUUUUAUCUUACAAAACAGGUUGUAUUGUGUAUUUAUUUUCUUCGGGAACCUCUUUCAUUUAGAGCAAGUGGGUUUAUGUAAGUGGGCUUGUUCUUUUAAAUGGGGUCAAUGUAAGUGGGCUCAACAUCGAAAAAUUAUCUGAUGUGAUCAAGUCUAACUUCACUCAAGUGGACCUGAGGGUCUAGCCCUUUAACUUAAGAAUGAUAAUAGCAGAUGGUCGCACGAGUCAACGGUCAGGCCAGCAAAGGCGAAGCUGUAAAGGCUAACAGCUUUACCUCCAUUGUACCGCACCGUACCAAUCCGGAAUUCCGGAUAAUCAUUUAUGAUGCCCGCACCCCCUCGAUUUUCCUUUAAACCAUAUAUUUUAAAAUAUAUUUCAAAUCGCAUAUGUAGAUUUUUUUUUUAAUAUUGAUAUAUUACAAUUAAAACUCUACUGAUAUUUAUAAAUAAUCCGAACAAAAACAUUCACUUAAUACUGGAAGAAAAUUUAUUCUACCCCGAAACAGGGGGCUAAAUAAAUCUUUAUCAAAAUGAGAGGUUGAGUCCAACCAUUAGUAGAACUCGAACUCAUGCGCCCAAGCCCAUUGGCCGCAUAAGUAGGGUUAAUUACAAAAAAAAUUGUCGACUUCGACUUGUUUAGUCAUAAUUUGAAUAACAUCACUUGAUAAAUUAUUACUUAUAACACAUUAUAUGUUGAUUAAUUUUUGUGGAGAUCUUACAAACUUAAUUGAAGCUCUGCGUCUAACUUAUUUGGUUUUAUUUUCUAAGCAUAAUAACCGAAUUGGUUUGUUUCAUCAUAAAUGACUUCACACUCCAAAAUCUAAUAAGGAACAUAAAAAUAUUUAUGGGUCUGGCUUGAUUUACCCCACAUUCCUUCUUAUUGGUAAAAUGAUAUUCAAAUUAGAAAGAACCAAAAUAUAUAUAUAUAUAUCAGAGUGCUGCGCUAAACAACACAAAACGUGAAAAACACCAAACAGAAUAAAAGAUAAUAAUAAUAAAAAAAUCAUCUUAAAAAAAAAACAUAAAAAAUGAAGCCACAUAAUCAUGUUCACUUGACCUUCAAGGGUCCAACUCGUUUGAAGGUAAGUCGUCUCUACCAUCAACUAAAUGGUUCAUUUUUUUUUUCAAUAGUUAAUUUACAAAAUUACUUGUAUGUUAUUACUUAUUAAUCUAGUCUUAAAGAUCUCUUCAAUAAUGAAUAAACCUUAUUAGGUGGGAUGUUAAUGCGUAAUUUUAUAGUUGCUAUAUAGUAAUAAUUAGGCAGUUAAUACUCAACUUAAAUACAACAAUUAUUAUUUGGAAGCAAUAAUUGUAGCUUAAUGAGUGUUUAUGAUCAAUUCUGAUCACCUCAAUGUUGGUUGUCAUAAUUCUAUAUAGAUAAUAUAAUAAUGUGGCAAUUAAUGUAUCAAUACCAAAAUAAGUUUUAGGUUUUAUGUAGGAAAUCUAAUUUGUAAGUUUUUUAUUUUAUUUUUAAGGUUAUAAUUUAUAAAUAUAUGUGUGUACACAUAUAUACAUACAUAUAUACAUACACACGUAUUCAUGUGUAUGUACAUAUACAUACAUAUACACAUUUCUAUUUUAUCUUGUAGUAUAUAGAAAUGUGUACAUUUCUAUCUUUUACCUUAUCUCUUGCCAUAUUAAAGUAAAUAAUAUCUUUUAUCGUAUGAUAAUAUAAAAUCAUUUUCUCACUUACUAGAUAAAGACUUUUUAUAUAAUACAUAUAUAUUACAAUUAGUAAUGUGUGUGUGUAAUUAUUUUUUAAUGCGGAUGUCUAUACGUCUGCACUUCAUAAAAUACAGAUUCGAUAUUUUAUAGUAUUAGAAAACUUUUGUUACUAUGUUGGAACACAAUGAAUCUGCAUUUUAUAAAUUGUAAACCUAAUUACAUGAAUGAGAAUGAUUAUAUAUAUUUGGAGGCAAAUUGUCCUUUUUUUUCCUAUAAUUAUGGUCAAUUACUAAACUAGUAUAUGCACUUUUAAAAUUUAUCUAAAACACUCGUGUUGUUAUUUUGUAACCAUUAGAUAUGACAUUCUAAGGGUAAAGUAAUGUUUUUGGCCUUCAAAAUUUAAAAUUCAAAGAAAUCUAAAAUGAAAAUAAGUGAAAAAUUAAUGAGAAUGAAAUAGAUUUUACCAAAAACAAUUAUAUGAUGCAAAUCUUUUGAGUAAUUUUAAAAUUGGAGAAUAUAUGUUUCAUCCUUGACUUGAUAGAUGUCAUUUUUACCAUAUACAUCCCUAUGAAGAUUUCUAAUUAUCUGUUUCAUCCCUCUCGUUAAUAAAUAAUAAAUAAAAUUAACAUUCUUUUUUUUUUGUUCUCUUACUAUUCUACCUUUCCUUAUAGGAUUUUAUGUCAUCUCUAAACAGGUCAGCACUAAAAUUAAAGGGAAGGUGAAAAUGGUUAACCCUUGUAUUUUGCAUUUGUUUUAUAGUCUCAAUGAUUAAUGUCAGAUUUCAAUUUAAAUUUUAAAGUAUCACACUUCGAAUAACUAUUUUACCCUUAUUUGCACAAUUAGUUCUGUUUAGGGAUGUCAAAUAAAUAUGGAUUUGGCCUGAAUCUGCAAAGAACUGGAAGAUUCAAAUCCGGAAAAAUCUGGAUUCGCAUAUUAAAAAAUGCGGAUCCGGAUGUGGAAGAUGGUGAUCCGCACGGAUUCCCAUCCAAAUCUGGAUCAUGUUGAAUUAUUAAUUGUUGGAUUAUGAUUGAAUUUUAUUUGAUAUUCUUAUGUAAAUUAUUG
rnacentral:lncRNA from 1 species